GACGAACGCUGGCGGCGUGCCUAAUACAUGCAAGUAGAACGCUGAAGAAAGGAGCUUGCUUCUUUUGGAUGAGUUGCGAACGGGUGAGUAACGCGUAAACAACCUGCCUUCAGGAUGGGGACAACAGACGGAAACGACUGCUAAUACCGAAUACGUUCCUUAGGUCGCAUGACUUUAGGAAGAAAGGGUGGCCUCUACUUGUAAGCUAUCGCCUGAAGAGGGGUUUGCGUCUGAUUAGGUAGUUGGUGAGGUAACGGCCCACCAAGCCGACGAUCAGUAGCCGGACUGAGAGGUCGAACGGCCACAUUGGGACUGAGACACGGCCCAGACUCCUACGGGAGGCAGCAGUGGGGGAUAUUGCACAAUGGGGGGAAACCCUGAUGCAGCGACGCCGCGUGAGGGAAGACGGUCCUCUGGAUUGUAAACCUCUGUCUUCGGGGACGAAACGAGACGGUACCCGAGGAGGAAGCCAACGGGCUAACUACGUG
rnacentral:rRNA from 1 species